AUGAUUCUUAAAAUGCAUAAACAAAUAUGCAUGGAAAUAACUUUCAGAAGUAGUGAGAUUCAUGAAUAAAAUUGAGGAGGAGGAGAAUACAUCUUCGUCGUCAAAUUCUAAGAUACUUGCGUAUUCAUCAACUAACAACACGUUGCAUUAACAAAGUAUGAAAAAAAGAAAAGAAAAGAUUACCACAACACAAAUCCAUGAUCUAAACAAUAGAAACCUUAGCACCAGCUUCUUCUAGCUGUUUCUUCGCAUCUUCAGCUUCAUCUCUGGACACUCCUUCCUUAAACUUCUUCGGAAGACCUUCAAUAAGCUCUUUAGCCUCCUUUAAUGCAAGGCUUGUCAAACCUCUAACCGCUUUAAUCGUCGCAAUUCUGGCAUUACUAGGAACAUCAUCAAUUACAACGUCGAACUCCGUCUUCUCCUCCACAGCCUCCGCCGCUUCCGCUCCACCGCCACCAGGUGCGGCAACUACAGCAGCCGGAGCGAAGGAUGCGGCGGUGACUCCGAGCUUGUCUUGCAGGUACUCAACCAGUGAUUGUGCCUGAGCUAGGGUUAGGUUUGAGAUUUCAUCGCCUAGCUGGACAACCUUCUCAUCGGUGGCUACGGCGGCGACCGGGCGGAGGAAUGUGGACCGGUGGCUGAAUUUGGGGGUUCGGAGGGGGAAUUCUAGGGUUUGUUUGGGGGAGAAGUGUGAUGGAGUGGUGGUGGCGCGUGGUGGAUAAGAGAAGGAGCGUAGAGUGACUGUGGAGAGUGCUGAAGACGCCAUUACAGCAGAGCUCGACAGAGACGA
rnacentral:lncRNA from 1 species